rnacentral:rRNA from 1 species
AGUGGCGGACGGGUGAGUAACGCGUGAGGAACCUGCCUUGAAGAGGGGGACAACAGUUGGAAACGACUGCUAAUACCGCAUGACGCAUAGAGGUCGCAUGAUCUUUAUGCCAAAGAUUUAUCGCUUCAAGAUGGCCUCGCGUCUGAUUAGCUGGUUGGCGGGGUAACGGCCCACCAAGGCGACGAUCAGUAGCCGGACUGAGAGGUUGAACGGCCACAUUGGGACUGAGACACGGCCCAGACUCCUACGGGAGGCAGCAGUGGGGGAUAUUGCACAAUGGGGGAAACCCUGAUGCAGCGACGCCGCGUGGAGGAAGAAGGUUUUCGGAUUGUAAACUCCUGUCGUUAGGGACGAUAAUGACGGUACCUAACAAGAAAGCACCGGCUAACUACGUGCCAGCAGCCGCGGUAAUACGUAGGUGGCAAGCGUUAUCCGGAAUUACUGGGUGUAAAGGGAGCGCAGGCGGACCGGCAAGUUGGAAGUGAAAACUAUGGGCUCAACCCAUAAAUUGCUUUCAAAACUGCUGGCCUUGAGUAGUGCAGAGGUAGGUGGAAUUCCCGGUGUAGCGGUGGAAUGCGUAGAUAUCGGGAGGAACACCAGUGGCGAAGGCGACCUACUGGGCACCAACUGACGCUGAGGCUCGAAAGCAUGGGUAGCAAACAGGAUUAGAUACCCUGGUAGUCCAUGCCGUAAACGAUGAUUACUAGGUGUUGGAGGAUUGACCCCUUCAGUGCCGCAGUUAACACAAUAAGUAAUCCACCUGGGGAGUACGACCGCAAGGUUGAAACUCAAAGGAAUUGACGGGGGCCCGCACAAGCAGUGGAUUAUGUGGUUUAAUUCGAAGCAACGCGAAGAACCUUACCAGGGCUUGACAUCCAACUAACGAAGCAGAGAUGCAUUAGGUGCCCUUCGGGGAAAGUUGAGACAGGUGGUGCAUGGUUGUCGUCAGCUCGUGUCGUGAGAUGUUGGGUUAAGUCCCGCAACGAGCGCAACCCCUAUCUUUAGUAGCCAGCAUAUAAGGUGGGCACUCUAGAGAGACUGCCAGGGAUAACCUGGAGGAAGGUGGGGACGACGUCAAAUCAUCAUGCCCCUUAUGACCAGGGCUACACACGUGCUACAAUGGCGUAAACAGAGGGAAGCAGCCUCGUGAGAGUGAGCAAAUCCCAAAAAUAACGUCUCAGUUCGGAUUGUAGUCUGCAACUCGACUACAUGAAGCUGGAAUCGCUAGUAAUCGCGAAUCAGAAUGUCGCGGUGAAUACGUUCCCGGGUCUUGUACUCACCGCCCGUCA